GAUGAAGAACGCAGCGAAAUGCGAUAAGUAAUGUGAAUUGCAGAAUUCAGUGAAUCAUCGAAUCUUUGAACGCAUCUUGCGCUCCUUGGUAUUCCGAGGAGCAUGCCUGUUUGAGUGUCAUUUAACUUCUCAACCACAUUGGAUAUUUUUUUUCCGAUGCCGGCUUGGAUGUGGGGGUUGUUUGCAGGCUUUUUGUAACAAAAAAGGUCGGCUCCCCUGAAAUGUAUUAGUGGUAUCUGAGGCUAUUACUAUUAGGUGUGAUAAUUAUCUAUGCCUUUUGGGUAUGCCGCAUGAACAGAUUAUGCUGCUUCUAACGAAAACUAUUUUGAUGAAUUUGACCUCAAAUCAGGUAGGACUACCCGCUGAACUUAAGCAUAUCAAUAACGGAGGA
rnacentral:misc_RNA from 1 species